rnacentral:tRNA from 2 species
GCGCGGGUGGCGGAAUUGGUAGACGCGCUGCCUUGAGGUGGCAGUCCCUUCGGGGGUGGAGGUUCGAGUCCUCUCUCGCGCACCA